AUUGAACGCUGGCGGCAUGCCUUACACAUGCAAGUCGAACGGUAACAGGUCUUCGGAUGCUGACGAGUGGCGAACGGGUGAGUAAUACAUCGGAACGUGCCUAGUAGUGGGGGAUAACUACUCGAAAGAGUGGCUAAUACCGCAUGAGAUCUACGGAUGAAAGCAGGGGAUCGCAAGACCUUGUGCUACUAGAGCGGCCGAUGGCAGAUUAGGUAGUUGGUGGGAUAAAAGCUUACCAAGCCGACGAUCUGUAGCUGGUCUGAGAGGACGAUCAGCCACACUGGGACUGAGACCCGGCCCAGACUCCUACGGGAGGCAGCAGUGGGGAAUUUUGGACGAUGGGCGCAAGCCUGAUCCAGCAAUGCCGCGUGCAGGAUGAAGGCCUUCGGGUUGUAAACUGCUUUUGUACGGAACGAAAAGCCCCGGGUUAAUACCCUGGGGUCAUGACGGUACCGUAAGAAUAAGCACCGGCUAACUACGUGCCAGCCGCCGCAGUAA
rnacentral:rRNA from 1 species